UGGGCUUGACAUCCCACGAACCUGCCCGAAAGGGUUGGGUGCCCGCAAGGGAGCGUGGAGACAGGUGGUGCAUGGCUGUCGUCAGCUCGUGUCGUGAGAUGUUGGGUUAAGUCCCGCAACGAGCGCAACCCUCACCCCUUGUUGCCACCGGGUUAUGCCGAGCACUCUAGGGGAACUGCCAGCGUCAAGCUGGAGGAAGGCGGGGAUGACGUCAAGUCAUCAUGCCCCUUACGCCCUGGGCGACACACGUGCUACAAUGGCUGGUACAAAGGGAUGCAAGACCGCGAGGUGGAGCUAAUCCCAAAAAACCGGUCUAAGUUCAGAUUGCAGUCCGCAACUCGACUGCAUGAAGGAGGAAUCGCUAGUAAUCGCGCAUCAGCACGGCGCGGUGAAUACGUUCCCGGGCCUUGUACACACCGCCCGUCACACCACGAAAGCCGGCUGUACUCGAAGUCGCUGAG
rnacentral:rRNA from 1 species